UUGCAGGGUAUAGACCCGAAACCCGGUGAUCUAGCCAUGGGCAGGUUGAAGGUUGGGUAACACUAACUGGAGGACCGAACCGACUAAUGUUGAAAAAUUAGCGGAUGACUUGUGGCUGGGGGUGAAAGGCCAAUCAAACCGGGAGAUAGCUGGUUCUCCCCGAAAGCUAUUUAGGUAGCGCCUCGUGAAUUCAUCUCCGGGGGUAGAGCACUGUUUCGGCAAGGGGGUCAUCCCGACUUACCAACCCGAUGCAAACUGCGAAUACCGGAGAAUGUUAUCACGGGAGACACACGGCGGGUGCUAACGUCCGUCGUGAAGAGGGAAACAACCCAGACCGCCAGCUAAGGUCCCAAAGUCAUGGUUAAGUGGGAAACGAUGUGGGAAGGCCCAGACAGCCAGGAUGUUGGCUUAGAAGCAGCCAUCAUUUAAAGAAAGCGUAAUAGCUCACUGGUCGAGUCGGCCUGCGCGGAAGAUGUAACGGGGCUAAACCAUGCACCGAAGCUGCGGCAGCGACGCUGAUGCGUUGUUGGGUAGGGGAGCGUUCUGUAAGCCUGUGAAGGUGUGCUGUGAGGCAUGCUGGAGGUAUCAGAAGUGCGAAUGCUGACAUAAGUAACGAUAAAGCGGGUGAAAAGCCCGCUCGCCGGAAGACCAAGGGUUCCUGUCCAACGUUAAUCGGGGCAGGGUGAGUCGACCCCUAAGGCGAGGCCGAAAGGCGUAGUCGAUGGGAAACAGGUUAAUAUUCCUGUACUUGGUGUUACUGCGAAGGGGGGACGGAGAAGGCUAUGUUGGCCGGGCGACGGUUGUCCCGGUUUAAGCGUGUAGGCUGGUUUUCCAGGCAAAUCCGGAAAAUCAAGGCUGAGGCGUGAUGACGAGGCACUACGGUGCUGAAGCAACAAAUGCCCUGCUUCCAGGAAAAGCCUCUAAGCAUCAGGUAACAUCAAAUCGUACCCCAAACCGACACAGGUGGUCAGGUAGAGAAUACCAAGGCGCUUGAGAGAACUCGGGUGAAGGAACUAGGCAAAAUGGUGCCGUAACUUCGGGAGAAGG
rnacentral:rRNA from 1 species